rnacentral:rRNA from 1 species
GACGAACCGUGCGAACGUUAUUCGGAAUCACUGGGCUUAAAGCGCGUGUAGGCGGGAGGGCACGUCCGUUGCUGAAAUCCCCCGGCUCAACCGGGGAACGGGCGCGGAUACGACUCUCCUUGAGGGGCGUAGGGGGACCUGGAACUUCCGGUGGAGCGGUGAAAUGCGUAGAGAUCCGGAGGAACACCGACGGCGAAGGCAGCGCCCUGGCCGCCAUCUGACGCUCAGGCACGAAAGCUGGGGGAGCGAACAGG